rnacentral:lncRNA from 1 species
UGUAGACUAGAGUCAAAUUUAUUCCUCAAUUAUGUCUAGAGGAACCCCAAAACUUUGUCAUAAGCACUAAAGCUAAUUGCUGAAUUAGUUGCAAAUAAAUUUUAUGUCAAAUAUCAAAGAUUACAUCACUGGCACUGAUUAACCUGUUUUUUCAAGAUUUCAAGAAAGGGAUGAGGUGCAAUAAUUAUUUCCCUCCAAUUCAUUGAGUGCAGAUCUUCUUUCCACCAAGACAAUCACCAUGUCUGAGAAAGAUAUAAAAGUCUAUCUAAAG